ensembl:lncRNA novel transcript
GAUCUACAUGGAACAUAGUUUUGUAGGAUAAAUUGAAACAUCAGCAAAAGAAAAUGUGAACUUUGAUGAAGCCUCCAGGUGCCUGGAUGCCAAAUAGACAAAUACAGAAUAUAAGAAAACACAAUAAGAGUCAUUGGCCCCGUGCCUAUUUGGCAUCAUUGCAAGAAACCUGGGGUAGUAAUAGUGGACGUAUUUAGAGAGUGAGGCAUAAGCUCACCUAAACAGCCUAGAAAAUGUUUACUAUGAGAGUAAGAAGGAAGAACACAAGUGGAUAUACGAGGAGUCCUUGCAAUCUGGCCCAUCACGCACCCUUUGCAUAUCUCUACCUACUUGUGCAUAAUUCAGCAUCCAGCAGAGGAAGACAAAAUGUUGCGGACAGUUCCUCUACCAGCAGCAUGCCUCCCCCAGGACAAGCGCAAAGUGAAGACUGGUCGUCGCUUCAGUGAAGAAAGAGAUCCUGAACUUUCAACUGUUUGCCGGAAGUUUGGUACAUUAAUGUUAUAUCCAGGGGCUAAUAUAAGAAGCUGCUAAUCUGGAAGAAUUUAUAUUAGAUUCUCCUGUUUAUCCUUCUACAAUCAUCGUCAUUGAUGGUACACGGAGCCAGGCUAAGGACAUUUUCUGUAAGAAUUCCUUGUUCUGACACCCCCAAACAGGUGCAGUUAAAAACGAGCAUUUCUAGUCAGUAUGUAAUUCGGAUACAGCCAAUUAAUAGAUGUCUUUCUACACUGGAGUGUGCACCUGUUGCUCUUUCCAUCUUGGAGAAAAAUAAUUACAUACAAGAGACUUUGCUUCGCCCUCUUGAAGCUUUAUGCUCUUUCCAGAUUUAGCAUGGUGCCCAAAUUGGCCCCAGCAAGCAACGCCUUCUGAAAAAAUGGAUUAUAUCCUAAACCAAUGCCAAAGAACAAACACAAACUCAGGAAAAUGGAACUAUUAAAGAAUAGUGUUAAAAUUUAGUACAGUUGUUCUUUUGGUGUUAGCUUACCUGUCUUCAUCUAACAAUACCAACUUAAGUUUUCAUAUAGUUUAGGUCUGUAGGUUUUUGACUUGCUAAUGAGAAUUGCAUACUAAUCUUGCCCAGAAGAAGGAAGUAAACCAAAUAUUCAUAGAAACAAACAAACGAAUGAAAAUUCACUGGCUCACUGAAAAGGAAGAUUUCAUACUGUACUUGUUUUUAAACAUGUGCCUCUAAUAAUACAUGUUUUCAAACCCAAA